CAACUUUCAACAACGGAUCUCUUGGUUCUGGCAUCGAUGAAAAACGCAGCGAAAUGCGAUACGUAGUGUGAAUUGCAGAAUUCAGUGAAUCAUCAAAUCUUUGAACGCACAUUGCGCCCUUUGGUAUUCCAAAGGGCAUGCCUGUUCGAGCGUCAUUU
rnacentral:rRNA from 1 species